AUGGGGUCCGUCCCGCCCGGGGAGAAGGUGGUGCUCGUCGGCCACAGCCUCGGCGGCGUGAGCAUCGCCCUCGCCUGCGAGCUGUUCCCGGAGAAGGUCGCCGCUGCGGUGUUCGUCUCCGCCUUCAUGCCGGACCACAGGUCGCCGCCGUCGUACGUGCUUGAAAAGUACAUGAAGCGGAGAAUGGACUGGAUGGACAUGGAGUUUAAGCCUCAAGAUCCAGAGGGCAAGCUCCCUACUUCCAUGCGGUUCGGGCCGCUGGUCACCCGAGCAAAGUUCUACCAGCUGUGCUCGCCGGAGGACCUGACGCUGGGAAAAUCCCUGAUGAGGGUCGGCUCGAUGUUCGUGGACAACCUGAAACUGCAGCCACCAUACACCGAGGCUCGCUACGGCUCGGUGCGCAAGGUGUUCGUCGUCCUCAAGGACGACAACGCCAUCUUUGAGGGGUUCCAACGGUGGAUGGUCCGGAACUGCCCCGUGGACGAGGUCAGGGAAAUCCACGGCGCCGACCACAUGGCGUUGCUCUCGACGCCGGCCGAGCUCGCGCACUGCCUCGCCGACAUCGCCGGCAAGUAUGCUGCUUGCAUUGACGAUGGUGUGGCGCCCGUUGCUCGUUGCCGGUAUUAA
rnacentral:rRNA from 1 species